AUUGAACGCUGGCGGCAGGCCUAACACAUGCAAGUCGAGCGGCAGCGGGAAAGUAGCUUGCUACUUUUGCCGGCGAGCGGCGGACGGGUGAGUAAUGCCUGGGAAAUUGCCCAGUCGAGGGGGAUAACAGUUGGAAACGACUGCUAAUACCGCAUACGCCCUACGGGGGAAAGCAGGGGACCUUCGGGCCUUGCGCGAUUGGAUAUGCCCAGGUGGGAUUAGCUAGUUGGUGAGGUAAUGGCUCACCAAGGCGACGAUCCCUAGCUGGUCUGAGAGGAUGAUCAGGCACACUGGAACUGGGACGCGGGCCAGACUCCUACGGGAGGCAGCAGUGGGGAAUAUUGCACAAUGGGGGAAACCCUGAUGCAGCCAUGCCGCGUGUGUGAAGAAGGCCUUCGGGUUGUAAAGCACUUUCAGCGAGGAGGAAAGGUUGAUGCCUAAUACGUAUCAACUGUGACGUUACUCGCAGAAGAAGCACCGGCUAACUCCGUGCCAGCCGCCGCGGUAACAC
rnacentral:rRNA from 1 species